GUGGGAUACGGGGACAUGCACCCCGUGACGAUCGGGGAAAGAUCGUGGGGUCCCUGUGCGCCAUCGCCGGUGUGCUGACUAUUGCCCUGCCCGUGCCUGUCAUCGUCUCAAAU
rfam:Gasterosteus aculeatus cont1.002636, whole genome shotgun sequence.